GCUGGGCGUGGUGGCGGACGCCUGUAAUCCCAGCUUCUCGGGAGGUUGAGGCAGAAGAAUCGCUUGAACCCAGGAGGCAGAGGUUGCAGUGAGCUGAGGUCGUGCCACUGUAUUCCAGCCUGAGCAACAGAGCGAGACUCUGUCUCAA
rnacentral:SRP_RNA from 1 species